rnacentral:sRNA from 1 species
GAUUUGAAGCCAAUAGUUUACUAUACUAUUAAACUUGCUGAGAACUAGUAGUAUGGUUUAAUGGUCACCACAGUAUUGAAAAUGCCCGCGAAAUAACCAAUAGGAAGUAACAUGAGAGAGCGGAUGGGCAAUGCAUACCUCGCAAAUGGGCAUCAGCGAUGUGAAAAGAUGCAUACGCAAUGUAGUUAGGAGUAAGUAAUGAUUUUCUCCAGCUCUGGAGACAUGACCCACACCAAGUGCGCCCUGGAGAUUUCAGGAUUCCCUCAUCACUGAAACAUUGAACGAGUAGGUGAAAAGCAAGGAAAUGUGAGCAGGUGGAGCAUUUAUUAAGCCUUUCCUCAGGUAAAGAUCCCCCAAGAUUGCCUCCAGGCUACUGAGGAGAGGAUGAUGAGAGAGUGAGCCGAUCCUGCUUGAUGAGACCCAUAUUCUGAUCACUCCUUUCCACCUUGAACAGUUCAUUGGUCUCUUUCAAUGCGAUUCUCAGAGCGCCGCUCACGGCAACAAUGGCAGAUGUACUGAUACUUUGAUCUCAUCAAAGAUUCGUCCCAUUGACUACUGAACCCAGUCGUUGCCAAAUGCCAGAUAUCAAUACUCCAGAUACAAUGCUGAUACUGUAAAAAGAAUCCCUACAGAACGUAAAGAAAAGAUUCUUGACAUUAAUAUCCUGCAGGCAUAAGCAUAACAGCUGCGACAGUAGGUGGAUGGUGAAACCAACACACCCAUUAUCCAAACAUAUGUGUCUUUCACAUAUGCCAUGUUUAGAUCCCUCCCCAAAAUUUUUCAUCUAAUUACAUCGAACGUUUGAACACCUGUAUGAAGUAUUAAAUAUGGGCUAAAAAGAAACUAAUUGCACAUAUUGCGACUCAUUUGCGAGACGAAUCUUUUAAGCCUAAUUGCUACAUGAUUUGACAAUGUGGUGCUACAAUAAACAUUUGCUAAUGACAGAUUAAUUAGGCUUAAUAAAUUCGUCUCGCAGUUUUCUGGCGGAAUAUGUAAUUAGUUUUUUUAUUAGUGCCCGAACACCCCAUGCGACACCCUAUAUAAUCACCGAUGUGACACGCCAAAACUUUACACCCCUAAUCUAAACAUCACCAUACUCAUGUUGCUACGAAUUCUAAUUUAAGUAAUGACCUCAACAUGCUAUGUGGACUUUGUAUUUGUCAUGUUUCAACUUCUGAUGCAAGCGUUUAGUG